AUCCUUCUCUAUUUGUGCUGAGAUUUCGUCAGCGAUCAGCCCACUGAAGCCGAUGUAACUUCUCAAAUAAGUGAAGUG
rnacentral:pre_miRNA from 1 species